UGGGGAAUUUUGGACAAUGGGCGCAAGCCUGAUCCAGCCAUGCCGCGUGCGGGAAGAAGGCCUUCGGGUUGUAAACCGCUUUUGUCAGGGAAGAAAUCUUCUGAGUUAAUACCUCGGGAGGAUGACGGUACCUGAAGAAUAAGCACCGGCUAACUACGUGCCAGCAGCCGCGGUAAUACGUAGGGUGCAAGCGUUAAUCGGAAUUACUGGGCGUAAAGCGUGCGCAGGCGGUUUUGUAAGACAGAGGUGAAAUCCCCGGGCUCAACCUGGGAACUGCCUUUGUGACUGCAAGGCUUGAGUGCGGCAGAGGGGGAUGGAAUUCCGCGUGUAGCAGUGAAAUGCGUAGAUAUGCGGAGGAACACCGAUGGCGAAGGCAAUCCCCUGGGCCUGCACUGACGCUCAUGCACGAAAGCGUGGGGAGCAAACAGGAUUAGAUACCCUGGUAGUUCACGCCCUAAACGAUGUCAACUGGUUGUUGGGAAGGUUCCUUCUCAGUAACGUAGCUAACGCGUGAAGUUGACCGCCUGGGGAGUACGGCCGCAAGGUUGAAACUCAAAUGAAUUGAC
rnacentral:rRNA from 1 species